UUAAAUUGAAGAGUUUGAUCAUGGCUCAGAUUGAACGCUGGCGGCAGGCCUAACACAUGCAAGUCGAACGGUAACAGGAAACAGCUUGCUGUUUCGCUGACGAGUGGCGGACGGGUGAGUAAUGUCUGGGAAACUGCCUGAUGGAGGGGGAUAACUACUGGAAACGGUAGCUAAUACCGCAUAACGUCGCAAGACCAAAGAGGGGGACCUUCGGGCCUCUUGCCAUCGGAUGUGCCCAGAUGGGAUUAGCUUGUUGGUGGGGUAACGGCUCACCAAGGCGACGAUCCCUAGCUGGUCUGAGAGGAUGACCAGCCACACUGGAACUGAGACACGGUCCAGACUCCUACGGGAGGCAGCAGUGGGGAAUAUUGCACAAUGGGCGCAAGCCUGAUGCAGCC
rnacentral:rRNA from 1 species